UGAAGCGUGGACGCCAGUCUGCGUGGAGCCGACCUUGAAAUACCACCCUUUAAUGUUUGAUGUUCUAACGUGGAUCCGUAAUCCGGGUUGCGGACAGUGUCUGGUGGGUAGUUUGACUGGGGCGGUCUCCUCCUAAAGAGUAACGGAGGAGCACGAAGGUUGGCUAAUCCUGGUCGGACAUCAGGAGGUUAGUGCAAUGGCAUAAGCCAGCUUGACUGCGAGCGUGACGGCGCGAGCAGGUGCGAAAGCAGGUCAUAGUGAUCCGGUGGUUCUGAAUGGAAGGGCCAUCGCUCAACGGAUAAAAGGUACUCCGGGGAUAACAGGCUGAUACCGCCCAAGAGUUCAUAUCGACGGCGGUGUUUGGCACCUCGAUGUCGGCUCAUCACAUCCUGGGGCUGAAGUAGGUCCCAAGGGUAUGGCUGUUCGCCAUUUAAAGUGGUACGCGAGCUGGGUUUAGAACGUCGUGAGACAGUUCGGUCCCUAUCUGCCGUGGGCGCUGGAGAACUGAGGGGGGCUGCUCCUAGUACGAGAGGACCGGAGUGGACGCAUCACUGGUGUUCGGGUUGUCAUGCCAAUGGCACUGCCCGGUAGCUAAAUGCGGAAGAGAUAAGUGCUGAAAGCAUCUAAGCACGAAACUUGCCCCGA
rnacentral:rRNA from 2 species